rnacentral:tRNA from 1 species
GGAGGCGUGCGAGAGUGGUUGAUUCGGAUGGUUUUGAAAACCAUUAGGGCAGCAAUGUCCUCGUAGGUUCGAAUCCUACCGCCUCCG